UACGUAGGGGGCUAGCGUUAUCCGGAAUUACUGGGCGUAAAGGGUGCGUAGGUGGUUUCUUAAGUCAGAGGUGAAAGGCUACGGCUCAACCGUAGUAAGCCUUUGAAACUGGGGAACUUGAGUGCAGGAGAGGAGAGUGGAAUUCCUAGUGUAGCGGUGAAAUGCGUAGAUAUUAGGAGGAACACCAGUGGCGAAGGCGGCUCUCUGGUCUGCAACUGACGCUGAGGCUCGAAAGCAUGGGUAGCGAACAGG
rnacentral:rRNA from 1 species